rnacentral:misc_RNA from 1 species
AGCGUCAUUUAAACCUUCAAGCUCUGCUUGGUGUUGGGUGAUUGUUCCGCCCCCGUGCUGGACUCGCCUUAAAUUCAUUGGCAGCCGGUAUGUUGGCUUCGUGCGCAGCACAUUGCAGACGAAGCCAGCACAUCCCCCUUCCAUUAAGCUCCCCUUUUUACUUUGACCUCGGAUCAGGUAGGGAUACCCGCUGAACUUAA